rnacentral:rRNA from 1 species
UACAGAGGUGGCAAGCGUUGUUCGGAAUUACUGGGCGUAAAGGGCGCGUAGGUGGCCUUUUCAGUCAGACGUGAAAUCCCCAGGCUUAACCUGGGAACUGCGUCUGAUACUGGAAGGCUUGAGUUCGGGAGAGGGAUGUGGAAUUCCAGGUGUAGCGGUGAAAUGCGUAGAGAUCAGGAAGAACACCGGUGGCGAAAGCGCUCUGCUAGGCCGCAACUGACACUCAUGGACGAAAGCUAGGGGAGCGAAUGGG